AAAAAAUAAAAAAAAUCUCAACUAUCAAUACUUUCUGUUCGGAUCUUCUUCUUCCCACCAAAAACUACAAGAAAAGGUUCGUAACUGUAUUAUGUCGGGACAAAGAGGAAGAGGAGACGAGCGUUGAGAAGGGGUUGAAGGGUGAUAAAAGAAAGAGUACAAGAAAGACCGGAACGGGUCUUGCAGAUAAAGAUGAUCAUGGUGGAUGCCUGAUUCUCCGGCGAUGUUUUUCAGGUGGGUAUCGG
rnacentral:misc_RNA from 1 species